UACGGAGGUGGCGAGCGUUACUCGGAUUCAUUGGGUGUAAAGGGCAGGUAGGCGGCUAUGCAAGUUGGAGGUGAAAUCCUUUGGCUCAACCAAAGAACUGCCUUCAAAACUGCAUAGCUUGAGGCUAAAAGAGGAGAGCGGAAUUCCCGGUGUAAGGGUGAAAUCUGUAGAUAUCGGGAGGAACACCAGUGGCGAAAGCGGCUCUCUGGGUUAGCCCUGACGCUAAUCUGCGAAAGCUAGGGGAGCAAACAGG
rnacentral:rRNA from 1 species